ACAAGCGGUGGAGCAUGUGGUUUAAGUUCGUACGCAACGCGAAGAACCUUACCAGGCUUGACAUCCCCUGACCGCGUAUGAAAGUACGUUUUCACCUUCGGGUGACAGGGAGACAGGUGGUGCAUGGUUGUCGUCAGCUCGUGUCGUGAGAUGUUGGGUUAAGUCCCGCAACGAGCGCAACCCCUACGUUUAGUUGCUAACGCGUGAAGGCGAGCACUCUAGACGAACUGCCGUUGACAAAACGGAGGAAGGUGGGAUGACGUCAAAUCAUCAUGCCCCUUAUGUUCUGGGCUACACACGUGCUACAAUGGCCGGUACAGACGGACGCAAAGCCGCGAGGUGGAGCAAAUCCGAAAAAGCCGGUCUCAGUUCGGAUUGCAGGCUGCAAUUCGCCUGCAUGAAGUCGGAAUCGCUAGUAAUCGCAGGUCAGCACGCCGCGGUGAAUACGUUCCCGGGCCUU
rnacentral:rRNA from 1 species